AGCGGUGGUGAUCACCUCUUCCCAUUCCGAACAGAGAAGUUAAGCCCACCCGCGCCGAUGGUACUUGCCCUAAAGGCUGGAAGAGUAGGUCGUCGCCUAUU
rnacentral:rRNA from 1 species